AUGAACGCUGGCGGCGUGCUUAACACAUGCAAGUCGAGCGAAGCACUAAAGCGGAUUUCUUCGGAUUGAAGGUUUAGUGACUGAGCGGCGGACGGGUGAGUAACGCGUGGGUAACCUGCCUCAUACAGGGGGAUAACAGUUGGAAACGGCUGCUAAUACCGCAUAAGCGCACAGUACCGCAUGGUACGGUGUGAAAAACUCCGGUGGUAUGAGAUGGACCCGCGUCUGAUUAGGUAGUUGGUGGGGUAACGGCCUACCAAGCCGACGAUCAGUAGCCGACCUGAGAGGGUGACCGGCCACAUUGGGACUGAGACACGGCCCAAACUCCUACGGGAGGCAGCAGUGGGGAAUAUUGCACAAUGGGGGAAACCCUGAUGCAGCGACGCCGCGUGAGCGAAGAAGUAUUUCGGUAUGUAAAGCUCU
rnacentral:rRNA from 1 species